UUUGCAUGUACGUCGAUCCGGUUGUCGGUAUUAUUCUCUCGUUUGUGUGUAGGUCGAUCCGGUUUCCGACAUUAUUUUCUCGUUCGCGUGUAGGUCGAUAUGGCGUAUAGGUCGAUGCCGUGUUGCUCCGUUCGUCGUGGGUUUCUUGUUCGUUGUGGGUUUCUUGUUCGCUGAUCUCCCGAUCUGGCGUCACUCUGUUCUCCUUCUCUCUCCCCCAUCGAAUUCUCUCUAACCACACAGUAGUAGAUUCGCGCUGCUGAUCUCCAGAUCUCUCCUUUUCUCUCUCACACUUUCACCAAUCUCCAACCCACACACUAGAUUUAGCCGUUGGAAUCUGUCGCCUCUCUUUUUAUGGUUUUUCUUAGAUAUUCUUGAAUAUCCCCUGCUUGUUUCUCUUAACUACGGAUAUAAGGGAGGUGCAACUCCAUCUUGCUGAAUUUAACUGUUGCGCAGCUUGGCUCGCAUGAUCUGAACACCUUGGCCAACAUCUUGUUGGAUCUUGCCACAUCUUGCUGGAAUUUUAAGUGAAACCUAGACGAAUAAGAAGUUCAUUUCUUGGCGGCCUUGUUGACGAAGUAGUGGUUUUCGUGAUUAUUGGUCUAGUUUUACUUGAUGAAAGGGAGGAGGAGAAUCCUAGAAGGUAUGGAGAGUCCCAACUUUUGGGGUCUGUAGCCACCUUAACUUCACAAAAUAUGCAUUAAUCAUGUAACAUUUUUUCCUUGUCUAUAAUUCUCCUUAUAACUUGAAAGUUACCUUCUUCUAGUUCUAGGAACUU